GACGAACGCUGGCGGCGUGCCUAAUACAUGCAAGUCGAACGCAGUGGCGGACGGGUGAGUAACACGUGGGUAACUACCCAUCAGAGGGGGAUAACUAUUGGAAACGAUAGCUAAUACCGCCUACUAGUAGAUGGACCUUCUUUGGAUUAGCGAGUAGGUAGGGUAAUGGCCUACCUAGGCCACGAUACAUAGCCGACCGGAGAGGGUGAUCGGCCACACUGGGACUGAGACACGGCCCAGACUCCUACGGGAGGCAGCAGUAGGGAAUCUUCGGCAAUGGGGGGAACCCUGACCGAGCAACGCCGCGGGAGUGAAGAAGGUUUUCGGAUCGGAAAGCUCUGUUGUUAAGGAAGCGGUACUUAACCAGAAAGGGACGGCUAACUACGUCCCAGCCGCCGCGGUAAUUC
rnacentral:rRNA from 1 species